rnacentral:rRNA from 1 species
UACGAAGGGGGCUAGCGUUGCUCGGAAUCACUGGGCGUAAAGCGCACGUAGGCGGACUCUUAAGUCGGUGGUGAAAUCCUGGAGCUCAACUCCAGAACUGCCUUCGAUACUGGGAGUCUCGAGUCCGGGAGAGGUGAGUGGAACUGCGAGUGUAGAGGUGAAAUUCGUAGAUAUUCGCAAGAACACCGGUGGCGAAGGCGGCAUCCUGGACCGGCAUGACGCUGACGGGCGCGAAAGCCAGGGGAGCAAACGGG